rnacentral:siRNA from 1 species
CUGAGGUGCCUUGCCCAAGAU